ensembl:scaRNA
UAUGGAAGCUGCAGAACCAACCAUGCAAACAAGUAAAAAACACCUUUUGUCUAAAAAUGACACAAUCCUAUAUAAACAUGGAAAUCUUUGUCUGACUUAGGACAGCUGGGGAAGUCUGGUUGUUCCCCUCCAUGUAAC